GGUUGAUUACAUUAAUAUCCUGUCUUUCCUCUAGGAAACGCAAUGCACAUGGGUAACCAAGCAGUCUCAAAUCCUGAUGUGUUUGAGAAUGCCAAUGACUGUUACUUCAUGGGUACAGAAAUUGGGCCAAGGGAAGCACUGGUAGAAUGUAUCCCUCUUCCCAGGUAUUUGGUGAGAGGAGAACUUGUUGCCUUAAAAUUGUUUCCAAGUAAUGUAAAACUUACUUUGAAUGUAAUGUAAAACAGCAUCUUAAAAAGUAGAGACAUCACUUUGCCAACAAAGGUCUGUAUAGUAAAAGCUAUGGUUUUCCCAGUAGUGAUGUAUGGAAGUGAGAGCUGGACCAUAAGGAAGGCUGAUCGCCGAAGAAUUUAUGCUUUUGAAUAAUGGUGUUUGAGGAGACUCUUGAGAGUCCCAUGGACUGCAAGAAGAUCAAACCUCUCCAUUCUUAAGGAAAUCAGCCCUGAGUGCUCACUGGAAGGACAGAUCGUGAAGCUGAGGCUCCAAUACUUUGGCCACCUCAUGAGAAGAGAAGACUCCCUUGAAAAGACCCUGAUGUUGGGAAAGGAGAAGGGGACGACAGAGGACGUGAUGGUUGGAUAGUGUUCGCGAAGCUACCAGCAUGGGUUUGGCCAAACUGCGGGAGGCAGUGGAAGAUAGAAGUGCCUGGUGUGCUCUGGUCCAUGGGGUCACGAAGAGUCAGACACGACUAAACGACUAAACAACAACAACAGUGUAAAACUUUGUCAUUCCACCCUUAAUGCCUGUCCUCCUGUACUGAGCAAUUAAUUAAUUACUUGCAUUUUUGCACUGAGGUGUCUCUAAGCAACAAUAAAAACAGAAAUAAUAGAAACAACAAGCCAUGUUUGAAGGUCAGCUAGCAAUAAUUACUUUUUAGGGUGCAACAAACCACUAUCCAUAGUUUAGAUGUAAUGAAAAGCCAAGGCCUCCUGAUAGCUAAUUCCACUUUUGCGACAGUAGGAGCAAAGAAGGAGUGAUUGGUUUGCAUGCACAAGCGUGGGGCUUUUCAUGGAGUUUGGUCUAUUAUGUGUGGACAUGACACAUGACCCAGAAGCUACAUUUCUUUCUAUAUAUUCCAAGACUUUAUCCACCAAGGAGAAACAUUGACCUUAAUACUUGGCUAGCUGCUCUAUAAUGCCUGCAAUAUUGCUUCUAAUAAAGCUUCCGAUUUUACUGCAAUUGUUGCCUUUUGGGAAAGAAUUUGGGACAUUCAUGACACAUAUAAAUGGUUACAUAAAAAACCAAUCAGCAGAGAUUAUGACUGAUUGGGUUAGAGAUGAAAGCAGUCUCUCUCAGUUGUAUUUUUAUCCUCUGGAGAACCACAUUUCUCUGAAGUGCUUUGAUGACACUGGUCAAUAAAGCAGCAAAAGCAAAUGAUAUAUGGCAAAUCUCAAUCUUAGUGCUGUCCUACUUUUCAUUGCCUUUUCGAGAACUGCAAGUGAAACUGGUGUUUCCUUUACCACUUAACCUGACUUUUAUUUCAACAGUCCAUAUUGAUAAUGUGCCAGGUAGCCAACACAAGAUCUGAAUUGCUUCAUUGGCUUAUUGCUCCAUUGGCUCUUGUGAUCUACACAGCAACAACUGGAUUUCAAUGCAGAUUGGAGGAAAUAAUACUUGCUGCAUUUACCAUUUUUGUUGUUGCUGCUCAUAUCCACUAUGGAGUCUGUGUGGUAAAAUAUGAGCUUUUAUCAUAAUUACUAAUAAAUACAGAUUGUAUUUGACUGCCUUCAAAAAGAAUGUGGGGACUAGAAUGAAAAUGAAAAGGAAUAAUGCCUUCCAUUUUGGGGGAUGUGUGGCUACCUGAUAUUUUUCCUUUUAGUAACUAAGUUUCCUUGGGCUGCCUUCAGCUUGGAGGGUGUGUGUAAUUUUUAAGAGGCCUGGAAUAGAAGUAGUAAGAAUGUGACUCUUUGGGUUUAUGAAACAAACUCAGGUUUUCAGUCAUGUAAUUUUUUCUAACACAACAGUAGUCAUUUCUGUAAAUCAUUGCCUUGAAACACCAUUUUACUGUAAAAUCCACAGUAAAUUGCUGCCUAACAAGGAACAUCUGCCAGUAUUUAUUCUCUUGCAAACAUCUCAACAUUAUUGGCUCAGAUAUGUCUGGAUAGUAUCAGGAGCAGGAAAUGCCAAAGCAAGUUUUUCUUAUUGAGGAACAUCGCCUGAACUCUAGCAAAAAGCAUCCACUCAGUAUGAAAAUCAUUCUGUAAUAAAUCUUGUCUUGCUUUAAGCAAGGCUGGAUGCAAGUUCUAAAGUGUGCUUAUGUCUGGAGGCAUAAUAGGUAUACAAAUAAAAGUAAUGUUUAAAAUUUGCAGUGUAAUGCAAUCUAGAAAAGUUAUAUCCGCAGCAGCUUUUGUGUCUUUAGUUUUAAAUAUUUGAAAAUAAUAUAACUAUAUAUAACAUGAUACUUUGGCUAGGUAUUCAAACUAUGGUGACUCUUCUCUAAGACAGGGAUAGAGAAAUUUGUGGCCCUCCAGAGUCUCCCAAAUUUUGUCAGCUUCAGCCAAGAGAGCCAAUUGUCGGGGAUUAUGGGAGGUAUAGUCCAACAGCAUUUGGAAGAACACACAUUUCCCUAACCCUGGUCCAGGACUAGAUUACUAGUAUUUUGUGAUUUUAUCUUGUGAACCACCCUGAGACCUGCAGGUAUAGGGUGGUAUACAAAUGUUGUUGUUAAUAAUAAUAAUAAUAAUUUGCCUAUGUGGUGAUGAACAUUAGUGUUUUUGUUUCUUUCAUUUUGUUUAUUUUAAACAACACUUUCCCCGUAGUGAUUUGCAACAAUGCAUCC